AAAUCGGUUCUUUUCAGGACCACAAAUGAUAAAUGAAAAAGAGAUU
rfam:Glossina brevipalpis unplaced genomic scaffold Scaffold34, whole genome shotgun sequence.